UACGGAGGGGGCUAGCGUUGUUCGGAAUUACUGGGCGUAAAGCGCGCGUAGGCGGACCUGCAAGUCGGGGGUGAAAGCCCGAGGCUCAACCUCGGAACUGCCUUCGAUACUGCGGGUCUCGAGUCCGGGAGAGGUGAGUGGAAUUCCUAGUGUAGAGGUGAAAUUCGUAGAUAUUAGGAAGAACAACCAGUGGGCGAAAGGCGG
rnacentral:rRNA from 1 species